GUUGGUUGGCUAAUUUUGAAUUGCGAAAGAAAAUGUUUGGUGAUUGGUAUCUAGUUAUUUAAUUUUACUUCGAUGUUAUGAUAUAAUGAUUAUGCUAAAGUGCUAAUACAAAUAAUAAACAUGUACCUUAUUUUCAAAUUUGAUUUAGAGGGCACUGGAAAUCACCAUUGUUUGAAUUGAUUGUUGAGUGGUUCUAAUUGAUUGUUAAUUGUUAAUAUACUCGAUCGUUACAAUACGAUUAUUGAUUGCCUAAUUAGGCAUCGUUGCCAAUUGAAAAAUAUUGAUUGUGAAUGUGACCGUAUGAUUAGAAUUAAAUAAUAUUUUCUAUUAGAAUUGAUUGAUAACUGUUAAUAGAUGGAUAGAAUUGAUUAGUAAUUGCUUGAUUGAUUAAUUUUAAAUCGAUAAUAAACUCUGUUGCUUCUUUCAAAUAACUAAUUUCUUAAUUGAAAUUGAUAUUUUUCAGUUUCUCCUUCAGAUCUUCACAUAAAAGAUAUUGAAUUAUUCUAGUAAUAUAUGUAUGUUAUGCACUUUCUAAUUUUGUUAAUAACAUAAAAGUUAUGCGUGUUUGUUGUGAUUAUGUGAAAAGAAACUGAUCGUAACUUUUUGUAUGUCACAUCAGUGAUUUGUGAUUUUGCUUUACGAAUGCAAUAAUCAUAGCACAAAGGCCACACAUAUAUUUUCGGAAGAUCUCCUUGAAAAGUUUGAGUUGUUAAUUGUAAUUGCUAUAUUUCUCCUUGGUUGGUUGAGUUUAGAAUUAUGGAAUAACAAUGAGAGGUGUUUCGGAAUAUCUAGGUAUAUAAAAUGAAUAACAAAAAUUAUAAUCCCAGCAAUUUCCAAAAUAUUUCAAUAUUCACAUCUUCAUAUAUUUUUGUUAAGUAGUUUGGAAUUAAUUGCAUUAUUUACUGUUUGGGAUCUGUAUCUGUACCCAUCUUGUUCAGGGAUCUAACUGUUUUUUUUUACUGUAUUUAACUUUUUUUUGAACCUUCCUCCCGAGUUGAAUUCCUCACGACCUGGCUGAAAGCAUCUGCUGUUUCCCUCGGUAAAGUUUCUCUUGUAUAUCUCGACUAAAAGAUAAUUCCUAAUAAACAGUGAGCAACAGGAAGCAUUGCAUGUCAAGAUGCUGAUAUGAUACAUAUCUACAUAUAAGGGACCUGCUGAUGUGAGUGCCAUAUUUACAUUGAAAGGAGCUUCAUAAAGGUGGACUAAAUAACAACAACGUACAAAGAGAGCUCCACAAACAGGU